GGGGAUUUAGCUCAGUGGUAGAGCGCUUGCCUAGGAAGCGCAAGGGUCCUGGGUUCGGUCCCCAGCUCA
rnacentral:tRNA from 1 species